UACGUAGGUGGCGAGCGUUAUCCGGAUUUAUUGGGUUUAAAGGGAGCGUAGGUGGAUUGUUAAGUCAGUUGUGAAAGUUUGCGGCUCAACCGUAAAAUUGCAGUUGAAACUGGCAGUCUUGAGUACAGUAGAGGUGGGCGGAAUUCGUGGUGUAGCGGUGAAAUGCGUAGAUAUAAGGAAGAACACCAGUGGCGAAGGCGGAUGACUGGACGGCAACUGACGGUGAGGCGCGAAAGCGUGGGGAGCAAACAGG
rnacentral:rRNA from 1 species